rnacentral:rRNA from 5 species
CGACUCUCGGCAACGGAUAUCUCGGCUCUCGCAUCGAUGAAGAACGUAGCGAAAUGCGAUACUUGGUGUGAAUUGCAGAAUCCCGUGAACCAUCGAGUCUUUGAACGCAAGUUGCGCCCGAAACCAUUUGGUUGAGGGCACGUCUGCCUGGGCGUCACGC